rnacentral:rRNA from 1 species
UACGUAGGUGGCAAGCGUUAUCCGGAAUUAUUGGGCGUAAAGCGCGCGCAGGUGGUUUCUUAAGUCUGAUGUGAAAGCCCACGGCUCAACCGUGGAGGGUCAUUGGAAACUGGGAGACUUGAGUGCAGAAGAGGAAAGUGGAAUUCCAUGUGUAGCGGUGAAAUGCGUAGAAAUAUGGAGGAACACCAGUGGCGAAGGCGACUUUCUGGUCUGUAACUGACACUGAGGCGCGAAAGCGUGGGGAGCAAACAGG